rnacentral:misc_RNA from 1 species
AUCCGGUCGUCGUACAGCGUGUGAUUUAGCGCCUCAGUCACAAGCUCUGUCACAGACGAGUAAUGACGUCGAAGUUAAACCAGUCGAUAGAACUGACCACUGGUAAGGUAGCUAACCUGGUCAGGCACUGCGAGGCCAGCAUCCAGCGGUCACUUGGACCCACAGACUCUUUAGAACGUCCGCUGAAAAAGAGUACAAAUCAGAAGAAAUACAGCACGACCUCGAAUGACACGUCACAGAGGUCAGCGGCGCACAGUCGGAAGAUCCACAUCCGGGCGGCGCGGAGGAAAAAAGACCGGUGUUUCCACUACCUGGCGGGGGUUCUUCAUUGUUACAACGUGUUUCUGUUGGUAAGUGGCUUCACCAGAAACGAAAUUAUUCCACAGCAGGUUAUUGUGAUUAUUAAUCACGCGUGAAUAGACACUCUUCACGUGAUUUUUCACGUUAAAUGCUCAUGUAGAGAAUAAGGUUAUGAUUAAGUGCAUAUGAUAUGAUUUUGUUAAGUAGAACUGUUAGUAUUGUUAGGUGUACAAAUUGAAGUAAAUUUAAUUUUCAUGCU